rnacentral:rRNA from 1 species
UUCCGCAAUGGACGAAAGUCUGACAGAGCAACGCCGCGUUAGUGAUGAAGGUUUUCGGAUCGNAAAGCUCUUUUGUUAGGGAAGANNCCNNNCNGUUCAAAUAGGGCGGCACCUUGACGGUACCUAACCANNNANCNACGUCUAACUACGUGCCAGCAGCCGCGGUAAUACGUAGGUGGCAAGCGUUGUCCGGAAUUAUUGGGCGUAAAGGGCUCGCAGGCGGUUUCUUAAGUCUGAUGUGAAAGCCCCCGGCUCAACCGGGGAGGGUCAUUGGAAACUGGGGAACUUGAGUGAAGAAGAGGAGAGUGGAAUUCCACGUGUAGCGGUGAAAUGCGUAAAGAUGUGGAGGAACACCAGUGGAGAAGGCGACUCUCUGGUCUGUAACUGACGCUGAGGAGCGAAAGCGUGGGGAGCGAACAGG